UACAGAGGGUGCAAGCGUUAAUCGGAGUUACUGGGCGUAAAGGGCGCGUAGGCGGAUAUUUAAGUUAGAUGUGAAAGCCCCGGGCUUAACCUGGGAAUUGCAUUUAAUACUGUUUAUCUAGAGUAUGGUAGAGGAAAGUGGAAUUCUCGGUGUAGUGGUAAAAUACGUAGAUAUCGAGAAGAACACCGGUGGCGAAGGCGGCUUUCUGGACCAAUACUGACGCUGAGGCGCGAAAGCGUGGGGAG
rnacentral:rRNA from 1 species